GAUGAACGCUGGCGGCGUGCCUAAUACAUGCAAGUCGAGCGAACAGACGAGGAGCUUGCUCCUUCGACGUUAGCGGCGGACGGGUGAGUAACACGUAGGUAACCUACCUAUAAGACUGGGAUAACUUCGGGAAACCGGAGCUAAUACCGGAUAAUAUUUCGAACCGCAUGGUUCGAUAGUGAAAGAUGGCUUUGCUAUCACUUAUAGAUGGACCUGCGCCGUAUUAGCUAGUUGGUAAGGUAACGGCUUACCAAGGCAACGAUACGUAGCCGACCUGAGAGGGUGAUCGGCCACACUGGAACUGAGACACGGUCCAGACUCCUACAGGAGGCAGCAGUAGGGAAUCUUCCGCAAUGGGCGAAAGCCUGACGGAGCAACGCCGCGUGAGUGAUGAAGGUCUUCGGAUCGUAAAACUCUGUUAUUAGGGAAGAACAAACGUGUAAGUAACUAUGCACGUCUUGACGGUACCUAAUCAGAAAGCCACGGCUAACUACGUG
rnacentral:rRNA from 1 species